GACGAACGCUGGCGGCGUGCUUAACACAUGCAAGUGGAGCGACGAACCGGGCUUCGGCCCGGGGCAAAGCCGCGAACGGGUGAGUAACACGUGGGUAACCUGCCCCGACGACCGGGACAACCCGAGGAAACUCGGGCUAAUACCGGAUGAGCUCACGCUACAACAGUGGCAUGAGGAAAGGAAGCUUCGGCCUCCGCAUCGGGAUGGGCCCGCGGCCCAUUAGCUUGUUGGUGGGGUAACGGCCCACCAAGGCUGCGAUGGGUAGCUGGUCUGAGAGGACGAUCAGCCACACUGGGACUGAGACACGGCCCAGACUCCUACGGGAGGCAGCAGUGGGGAAUCUUGCGCAAUGCGCGAAAGCGUGACGCAGCAACGCCGCGUGCGGGAAGAAGGCCUUCGGGUUGUAAACCGCUUUCAGUUGGGACGAAGCUUCGCCGGUGAAUAGCCGGCUGGAGUGACGGUACCUUCACAAGAAGCCCCGGCUAACUACGUGCCAGCCGCCGCAGUAACAC
rnacentral:rRNA from 1 species